AUUGAACGCUGGCGGCAGGCCUAACACAUGCAAGUCGAACGAGUGGCGGACGGGUGAGGAAUGGCGGGGAAACUGCGGGUUAGAUGGGGAUAAGUACUGGAAACGGUAUCUAAUACCGCAUACAAUGCGAUGUUCCAAGAGGGGAUUAGCUGGUAGGUGAGGUAACGGCUCACCUAGGCGACGAUGCCUAGCUGGUCUGAGAGGAUGACCAGCCACACUGUGACUGAGACACGGUCCAGACUCCUACGGGAGGCAGCAGUAGGGAAUAUUGCACAAUGGGCGAAAGCCUGAUGCAGCCAUGCCGCGUGUAUGAAGAAGGCCUUCGGGUUGUAAAGUACUUUUAGCGGGGAGGCGUUACCCGACCAAGAAGCAACGGCUAACUACGUGCCAGCAGCCGCGGUAAUAC
rnacentral:rRNA from 1 species